rnacentral:rRNA from 1 species
AACGAACGCUGGCGGCAGGCCUAACACAUGCAAGUCGAGCGAGGACUUCGGUUCUACCUGCGCACGGGUGAGUAACGCGUCGGACUGUGCCCUUCUCUACGGAAUACCCCUGUGAAACUGGGAGUAAUACCGUAUAACCCCUUCUGAUACAACAUUUCACCGAGAAGUAGCAGCACGAGUUGUUCUAGCUAGUGGGUGUGGUAUUGGCCUACGAAGGGUAGGCUCCAUAGCGGGUUUGAGAGGAAGGUCAGCCACACUGGGACUGAGACACGGCCCAGAAUCCUACGGGAGGCAGCAGUGGGGAAUCUUAGACAAUGGGGGCAAUCCUGAACGAGCCAUGCCGCGUGAGUGAUGAAGGCCUUAGAGUUGUAAAGCUCUUUCAGCUGGGAAGAUAAUGACGGUACCAGCAGAAGAAGCCCCGGCUAACUCCGUG